AUGGGGUCCCAUACAAUGAACCAGUCCAUGUCCAUCUCCAGGAGGAGGAUGCGGCCUUGCCGGCACCCGAGCAGGUCGGCCUUCCGGAAGGAUGCGGUCGGGAGGGUCCAGGACCGGAGUGAACACGAUGUCGUAGUCAUCUCUCUCAAAGACGCCGAGGAGUGGCGGCUUGCGGUGGUGCGCAGAGAAGCUGCGGAGGAACCGGGGGUCGGUGGCGACGCGCAGCCAGCUCUUGCAGACGGCGGAGGCUCGCAGGAGGGAGGACGGCUGAGGCGGCAGGCGCAUGAGGAUCUCCCGGAGCAUAUCGUCGUCGUCCGGCAGGGAGGCAGGCGCAGCCGGAGAGGUGCCGCGGCGGCGGCGGCGGCGUGUAAUUCCGGAGCCCUCCUCGCUCGAGUGUACUUGGGGGUGGAGCCGCGUGCUGCGGCGGUUGGUCACUCCGGCGCCCUCCUCGCUCCUGUGGAGGUGGGGGUGCAGCCGCGGGCUGCGACGGAGGCCUAUCACGGCGCCACCCUCGUCGCUCGCUCGGAUUUGGGGAUUGAGCCGCGGGCUGCGGCGGCGGGUCACUCCGGCGUCCUCCUCGCUCACGGGGAUCUGUGGGUGGAGCCGCGGGCUGCGACGGAGGCCGAUUACGGCGCCACCCUCGUCGCUCGCGUGGACUUGGCGGUGGAGCCGGGUGCUGCGCCGGCGGGCCAACCCGACGCCCUCCUCACCGAUGUGGAUUUGGGGGUUGAGCCGCGAGCUGCGUCGGCGGGUCGCUCCGGUGCCCUCCCCGCUCACGGGGGUUUGGGGGUGGAGGCGCGGGCUACGGCGGAUGGCCAUUCCGGCGUUCGCCGCGGCCUGGCUGGCGUGGGUCUGGGGAUUCAGGCCUGGGCUGCGGCGGCGGCUCAUCUCUGCUCUCUGCUUGGAUUGGAAUGGAAUGGAAUGGAGGCGCCGCCCGUGACCUAG
rnacentral:rRNA from 1 species